rnacentral:rRNA from 1 species
AACGCGAAGAACCUUACCUGGGCUCGAAAUGUAGUGGAAUCGGGUAGAAAUAUCCGCGUCUCGCAAGAGACUGCUAUAUAGGUGCUGCAUGGCUGUCGUCAGCUCGUGUCGUGAGAUGUUGGGUUAAGUCCCGCAACGAGCGCAACCCUUAUCCCUAGUUGCCAUCGGGUCAAGCCGGGCACUCUAGUGAAACCGCCCGGGAUAACCGGGAGGAAGGUGGGGAUGACGUCAAGUCCUCAUGGCCUUUAUGUCCAGGGCUACACACGUGCUACAAUGGUCGGUACAAACCGUCGCAAACCCGCGAGGGGGAGCUAAUCGGAAAAAGCCGGCCUCAGUUCGGAUUGGAGUCUGCAACCCGACUCCAUGAAGCUGGAAUCGCUAGUAAUCGCGGAUCAGAACGCCGCGGUGAAUACGUUCCCGGGCCUUGUA